rnacentral:rRNA from 1 species
GCGCGNCUACCAUGCAAGUCGAACGGACUCUUCGGAGUUAGUGGCGGACGGGUGAGUAAUACAUAGAUAACCUGCCCUUAAGAUUGGGAUAACUAGCCGAAAGGAUAGCUAAUACCGAAUAAUGUUGCGUACUUAGUUGUAUGUAAAGAAAGGGGUAACUCGCUUUAGGAGGGGUCUAUGGUCGAUUAGCUAGUUGGUGUGGUAAUGGCAUACCAAGGCGACGAUCGAUAGCUGGUCUGAGAGGACGAUCAGCCACACUGGGACUGAGACACGGCCCAGACUUCUACGGAAGGCAGCAGUGGGGAAUUUUCCGCAAUGGGCGAAAGCCUGACGGAGCGACGCCGCGUGGGUGAAGAAAUCUUUCGGGAUGUAAAGCCCUGUCAGAGGGGAAGAAAAAAAUGACGGUACCCUCGGAGGAAGCAUCGGCUAACUACGUGCCAGCAGCCGCGGUAAUACGUAGGAUGCGAGCGUUGUUCGGAAUUACUGGGCGUAAAGAGUACGUAGGCGGUGUUUUAAGUCUGAUAUUAAAGACAGAAGCUCAACUUCUGGAAUGUAUCGGAGACUGGAAUGCUAGAGGGUAAUAGAGGAAGUUGGAAUUCUCAGUGUAGCGGUGAAAUGCGUAGAUAUUGGGAAGAACACCAGCGGCGAAAGCGAACUUCUGGGUUACUACUGACGCUGAGGUACGAAAGCGUGGGGAGCAAACGGGAUUAGAUACCCCGGUAGUCCACGCCGUAAACGAUGGAUACUAGGUGUAACAGGCAUCGACCCCUGUUGUGUCGUAGCAAACGCAAUAAGUAUCCCGCCUGGGGAGUAUGGCCGCAAGGUUGAAACUCAAAGGAAUUGACGGGGGCCCGCACAAGCGGUGGAGGAUGUGGUUUAAUUCGACGCAACGCGAAGAACCUUACCAAGACUUGACAUCCAUAGAAUUUUUUAGAAAUAGAGAAGUGCCUGAAAGGGAACUAUGAGACAGGUGGUGCAUGGCUGUC